rnacentral:rRNA from 1 species
UGUGACCUCAAAUCAGGUAGGACUACCCGCUGAACUUAAGCAUAUCAAUAAGCGGAGGAAAAGAAACUAACAAGGAUUCCCCUAGUAACUGCGAGUGAAGCGGGAAAAGCUCAAAUUUAAAAUCUGGCAGUCUUUGGCUGUCCGAGUUGUAAUCUAGAGAAGUGCUAUCCGCGCUGGACCGUGUACAAGUCUCCUGGAAUGGAGCGUCAUAGAGGGUGAGAAUCCCGUCUUUGACACGGACUACCAGGGCUUUGUGAUGUGCUCUCAAAGAGUCGAGUUGUUUGGGAAUGCAGCUCAAAAUGGGUGGUAAAUUCCAUCUAAAGCUAAAUAUUGGCGAGAGACCGAUAGCGAACAAGUACCGUGAGGGAAAGAUGAAAAGAACUUUGGAAAGAGAGUUAAACAGUACGUGAAAUUGCUGAAAGGGAAACGCUUGAAGUCAGUCGCGUUGUCCAGGGAUCAACCUUGCUUUUGCUUGGUGCACUUCCUGGUUGACGGGUCAGCAUCAAUUUUGACUGUUGGAAAAAGAUCAAGGGAAUGUGGCAUCUCUGGAUGUGUUAUAGCCCUUGGUUGCAUACAAUGGUUGGGAUUGAGGAACUCAGCACGCCGCAAGGCCGGG